GACGUAGGGCGCGAGCGUUGUCCGGAUUUAUUGGGCGUAAAGAGCUCGUAGGCGGCUUGUCGCGUCGUCCGUGAAAACCCACAGCUCAACUGUGGGCUUGCGGUCGAUACGGGCAGGCUAGAGUUCGGUAGGGGAGACUGGAAUUCCUGGUGUAGCGGUGAAAUGCGCAGAUAUCAGGAGGAACACCGGUGGCGAAGGCGGGUCUCUGACCCGGUACUGACGCUGGAGGUGACGGAAAGCGUGGGGAGCAAACAGG
rnacentral:rRNA from 1 species